ensembl:snoRNA
CCUCCUUUUCUUGGUGGAGAUUGGGCAUGAGGGCUGGUCCCUGUAAUGUACAGAGGCAGAGGGAAAGUGCUCCGGCUCCCUGCCACGGUGUCUUGUCUUCGGUGCUGGCGGUGUGCUGUCUGCCAGUUCUAUCCUCAAGCACCGGGACACGG